AUACGUAGGGUGCAAGCGUUAAUCGGAAUUACUGGGCGUAAAGCGUGCGCAGGCGGUUUUGUAAGACAGUGGUGAAAUCCCCGGGCUCAACCUGGGAACUGCCAUUUUGACUGCAAGGCUGGAGUGCGGCAGAGGGGGAUGGAAUUCCGCGUGUAGCAGUGAAAUGCGUAGAUAUGCGGAGGAACACCGAUGGCGAAGGCAAUCCCCUGGGCCUGCACUGACGCUCAUGCACGAAAGCGUGGGGAGCAAACAGGAUGAGAUACCCUGGUAGUCCACGCCCUAAACGAUGUCAACUGGUUGUUGGGGAUUUAUUUUCUCAGUAACGAAGCUAACGCGUGAAGUUGACCGCCUGGGGAGUACGGCCGCAAGGUUAAAACUCAAAUGAAUUGACGGGG
rnacentral:rRNA from 1 species